rnacentral:rRNA from 1 species
GACGAACCGUGCGAACGUUAUUCGGAAUCACUGGGCUUAAAGCGCGUGUAGGCGGCCCGAAAAGUUGGAUGUGAAAGCCCUGGGCUUAACCUAGGAAGUGCAUUCAAAACUGUCGGGCUUGAGUUCUGGAGAGGAAGGCGGAAUUCUCGGUGUAGAGGUGAAAUUCGUAGAUAUCGAGAGGAACACCGGUGGCGAAGGCGACUACCUGGCCUGUUCUUGACGCUGAGGCGCGAAAGCUAGGGGAGCAAACGGG